CGAGCGCAUGAGUUGUGCUGGACCUGUGACUACCGGUAUGUCCCCCGCUGCUGUGCGGCCGACUCUCGGUGCCUGUGUNCCUUUCAAUCGUUGGCNUAUAGUGUGCCUAUCGUUUUGGCGAGUGCUUGCGUGCUGCUACCAGUAACACUGGAAGUUGCAUUGCUACAUGUUGGUUUUGCCGUGCAUGNNNNNNNNNNNNNUCACGUCAACUAUAAAGGGCUCAUGGCGUUGCCUCGUGUAGCUGGCCCCAUAGGCUAGCAGCAUCAAGGCCACCUCAUGAACGCUAUUGGUCUCGGAUGCGGCUAACUAUANAAGGCUGAAGGUGCUUCGGCACCUCAUGCCUACAAAAUAUUGUCCGANUCGGAAACAACGACAGUGGGCCUGGCUAAUGCCUCGUGCAGAAGCUAGUGCUUGCUCGUCGAUGAGGACGUGC
rnacentral:misc_RNA from 1 species